UACGUAGGGUGCAAGCGUUAAUCGGAAUUACUGGGCGUAAAGCGUGCGCAGGCGGUUAUGUAAGACAGAUGUGAAAUGCCCGGGCUUAACCUGGGAACUGCAUUUGUGACUGCAUGGCUAGAGUUUGGUAGAGGGGGGUAGAAUUCCACGUGUAGCAGUGAAAUGCGUAGAUAUGUGGAGGAACACCGAUGGCGAAGGCAGCCCCCUGGGUCAAGACUGACGCUCAUGCACGAAAGCGUGGGGAGCAAACAGG
rnacentral:rRNA from 1 species